rnacentral:tRNA from 1 species
GCUUGAAUAGUUUAAGAAAAACGUUGGUGUGUGGAACCAUAGAUGUAAAUAUUUACUUUAGGCU